AGUGAUCCUGAUAGUUCUCUGUGCAUGUGCUGUAGGUACACGUCUGAGAUCAGCUCUCCUGGACAGCCCUCGUCCCUCCGAUGAGGAGCUCAUGGCUAAUCUGGAUGGCCUGCGCGUGGGUAUGCCUGGAGAUCCCCUGUCCAAACUUCCUGUUCCGCACAAAAUGGCUUUUUUAGCCACCAUGGAUGAGAUCCGUUGGCUGUUGGAGGAUGAGAUAGUCUCUGCUCUGCGGCACUCGUCUUUAUCAGCUCCUCCACGCUGCAGAAAGUGUGUCGCUCCAGCGGCCGCCCGUGCCACUGUGAGGUCAUUCCUCUGCAGUUCGUAUUUGGUCCCGAGCAGUCGCUGGUAAAGUUUCAAGAGGAGUUCAAGAGGUUAUCGCUUCCUGGUUACCUGCUGAACGCCGAGCAGCACAACUUCCACUACAUCUCACUGAGUCAACAGCAGUUUCUCAGGCUUCAGGCCAUGAGACAGCUGUCUAACAUCUCUGCUCAGUACUCAACGUCUCGGCAGAGCAGCCUGUGUCCUGAGGUGGAGGACGGAGCCAGAGCAUCAGCAAACAGAGAAACAGAGUCCAAGAGAAAAGAGCCCGACACUGAGGCAGUGGGAAACUGCGGCCCAGUCGAGUUCAGAGCGUCGUCUCCAGUCAGGGCAGCCUGGACUCAACACACAGCAUGAUAAAACAUCACAGGCAUCAUUCCUCAUGGUGCUGUGUGUGUGUGUCAGGUUAUGAUGGAGGCGGCAGUGAUUCUGAGUGUGACGGACCCACUAUGAAUGAGCAGGAGAGACAGACGCCGCUCAUGCCUGAUUUCUGGCUCAUCAUCAGAAUUCAUCAGGACAGAGUGGAGGUUUUCUCUCACACCAGGAACUGCUGCAGAGA
ensembl:lncRNA